rnacentral:pre_miRNA from 14 species
UUCUAGGUAUUGAAAGACCCCCGGAGCUGGGAGACCCUCACUCAAGUCUUGGGAUGACGCGACUCCCCAAGAACUCACGUAAGACC